rnacentral:rRNA from 1 species
UACAGAGGUCUCAAGCGUUGUUCGGAUUCAUUGGGCGUAAAGGGUGCGUAGGCCGCGCGGAGGGUGGGAUGUGAAAUCCCCCGGCUCAACCGGGGAAUAGCGUCCCAAACCGCCGUGCUCGAGGGAGACAGAGGUGAGCGGAACUGAUGGUGGAGCGGUGAAAUGCGUUGAUAUCAUCAGGAACACCAGUGGCGAAAGCGGCUCACUGGGUCUUUCCUAACGCUGAGGCACGAAAGCUAGGGGAGCGAACGGG